rnacentral:lncRNA from 1 species
AAAAGAUAUUAAAGAGGCAUAUCAUGAGAUUUUAAAAAAUAAAUUAACUUAUCCUAAAAAUAGAAUUAAUAAAAUUUCGAUAAAUGCAAGAAAUUUAUUAACAAAAAUGUUAAAUGUUAAUCCUUAUAAUAGAUUAUCGCUUGAUGAAGUGGUAAAACAUGAAUGGCUAGCUGAUAUAGCCAAACCUAAGUUAGAAGUAUCUUAUCUAAAUAAAAACCUGAAUUUCCCCAUAACAUCUAUGAUUACGUGUCCAGGAUAUAUGAAUAAUAACAUAAUGAAUUACAAUAUGUUUAGAGAUGUAGAAUUAAUUAAAGGUAAUUAUAACUAUAAUGUUAGAAACUGUGAAAAUGUGCAUAUAUAUAAUACUAACAACGGUGUUGGUAGUGGUAGUAGUAACACUACUGGUAGUAAUGUCAUGAGUCCUACGAACUACACUAUUGACACGUGUGGAGUUAUAAAUAAUGUCCACGUAGUUGAAACUAAUCAAACGAAUAAAAUUAACCAAGUGAGCAACAUUAAACAAGUAAGCAACAUUAACCAAGUAAGCAACAUUAACCAAGUAAGCAAUAUUAACCAAGUGAGCAACAUUAACCAAGUAAGCAACAUUAACCAAGUAAGCAACAUUAACCAAGUGAACAACAUUAACCAAGUGAGCAACAUUAAUCAAAGUAAUACUAACCUCCACAAUUAUACAAAAGCUUGCAUCGCUGAAGUAGAAGUACCAAAGUAUGGAACCAUGAAAAAUCAAACCAAUGUUUAUAAAACAUAUGAAAAUAAUUCUAUUAUUUGCGAUGAAAAUAGCAACAACAAAUUUUAUAUAAAAAAUAAUAACGGUAUAAUGUACAAUGUAUUUAAAAAACAACAGAAUACCGAAGAAAUAAAUAAACAAAAUGCAGAUUAUAAAAAUGUUGUUUACACAUAUAAAAAUAAUAUUAUAGACAUGAAUAAUAAAUCAGAAAAGACUAUUUUAGAUAUUAAUUUAUUAAAAGAAAAAAAAAUGAACCUAUCCGCUACUAA